GGCUACAGAACGACGCUGGCGGCAGGCCUAACACAUGCAAGUCGAACGCCCCGCAAGGGGAGUGGCAGACGGGUGAGUAACGCGUGGGAACCUACCUAGAGGUGCGGAAUAGCCCAGGGAAACUUGGAGUAAUACCGCAUAAGCCCGCAAGGGGAAAGAUUUAUCGCCUUUAGAUGGGCCCGCGUCUGAUUAGCUAGUUGGUGAGGUAAUGGCUCACCAAGGCGACGAUCAGUAGCUGGUUUGAGAGAAUGACCAGCCACACUGGGACUGAGACACGGCCCAGACUCCUACGGGAGGCAGCAGUGGGGAAUCUUGGACAAUGGGGGCAACCCUGAUCCAGCCAUGCCGCGUGAGUGACGAAGGCCUUAGGGUUGUAAAGCUCUUUUGGCGGGGACGAUAAUGACGGUACCCGCAGAAUAAGUCCCGGCUAACUUCGUGCCAGCAGCCGCGGUAAUACGAAGGGGUUAGCGUUGUUCGGAAUUACUGGGCGUAAAGCGCG
rnacentral:rRNA from 1 species